rnacentral:lncRNA from 1 species
UGGGUGCGGUGUCUCACGCUUGCAGUCUCAGUGCUUUGGGAGGCUGAGGUGGGAGGAUUGCUUGAACCGAGGAAUUUGAGACUAGCCUGGGCAAUAUGGUGAGAUGCCAUCUCUACAAAAUAACAGUAAUAAUUUUAAAAAGCCAGGCAUAGUGGCACACCUGUAGUCCUAGCUCUUUGGGAGACUGAGGUGGUAGGAUUGCUUGAGCCCAGGAGUUUAGGGUUACAGUGAGCUGUGGUCGCACCACUGCACUCUAGCCUGGGCGACAGAGUGACACUGUCUCCAAAGAACAAAAAAGGUGGUAGGGAUGCUGAUAAUAUGGCACACUUGCUUUUUGAAACAGACUUAAAAACCUCACGUGUGAUAACGAAAAAUGAGUUGGCUUUUAUAAGUAAUAUUCCUCAGACUUAUAACCAAUAAAUUGAAAAUGAGUUUGGAAGUUUUGAAUACUGCCAAUGAAAAGUAAUAGUGUGAGCCACUGCACCCAACUGUGAACAGUUUGGGGACCACAUCUGGCCCAGCCACUUGACAGCAUUUGACAGAGGUGAUCUCUGAUGGACUUUCACUUGGCUCUCAUGACGCCUCACUUGCUUGAGUGUCUGCUGAGUUCCCUGGUGGUUUCUUAGUCUCUUUUGCAGGUUCCUCCUCAUCUUGAUCCUCUCCUCUGACUACAGUCACUCCCUUGGUGAGCUCCUCUAGUCUCACUUUUUUUGAGACGGGCUCUCGCUGUCACCCAGGCUGGAGUGCAGUGGUGCGCUCUCAGCUCACUGCAACCUCCACCUCCUGGGUUCAAGCGAUUCUCCUGCCUCAGCCUCCCAAGUAGCUGGGAUUACAGGUGCCCACCCCCAUGCCCAGCUAAUUUCUGUGUUUUUAGUAGAGACAGGGUUUCACCAUGUUGGCCAGGUUCAUCUCGAACUCCUGACCUCAGGUGAUCCUCCUGCCUUGGCCUCCCAAAGUGCUGGGAUUACAGGUGUGAGCCACUGUGCCCAGCCUUGUUAUUAUUUUUGAGACAGGAUCUAGCUCUGUUGCCCAGGCUGUAGUGCAGUGGUGCAAUCACAGCUCAUUACAGCCUCGACCUCCUGGGCUCAAGCAAUCCUCCUGCCUCAGCCUCCUGAGUAGCUGGGACUACAGGCACAUGCUACCAUGCCCAACUAAUUUUUCGAUUUUUUGUAGAGAUGAGGUUUCAUUCAUGUUGCCCAGGCUGGUCUCAAACUCCUGCGUUCAAGGGAUCCUCUGGCCUCGGCCUCCCAAAGUGUUGGAAUUACUGGUGUGAGCCACUGGGCCCGGCCACUAGGGUCUUUCUAAUGGCCUCCAACACUCAAGGGAUCCAGCCCUGUGACCUCUGAGCUCGUGUCCCACCACACUCUCCCUCAUGUCUGCUUCUGCCACUGGCUUCUGCUGCCCUCAGCACAUACCAGGCAUGACCUUGCCCAGGGCCUCGUAAUUUGUUCCUAUGGAGGGAUUUUCCCCAGAAGCCAGCUGACUUCCUCACUUCCUUCAAUCUUUUGUGACAAGCUAUUUUGCAAGAGUGACAAGGUCAUUCACAGCAAUGUUUGUCAAUCUCAGAACAAAUUAAAAAAGAAAAUCCAAACGUGAUAUGUGGAAAUUAA